UACGUAGGGAGCGAGCGUUGUCCGGAUUCAUUGGGCGUAAAGAGCUCGUAGGCGGUUCGGUAAGUCGGGUGUGAAAUCUCCGUGCUCAACACGGAGCGGCCACCUGAUACUGCCGUGACUCGAGUCCGGUAGGGGAGUGUGGAAUUCCCGGUGUAGCGGUGAAAUGCGCAGAUAUCGGAAGGAACACCGGUGGCGAAAGCGGCGUGCUGGAUCCCUUCUGACGCUGAGGCGCGAAAGCCAGGGGAGCGAACGGG
rnacentral:rRNA from 1 species